AGGGGCUUGUGGGAAAAGAUGGACAACCUGGACCUGCGGGCUUGAGGGGUCUAACAGGAGUCGCCGGACAAAUGGGUCCUGCAGGACAUAAUGGUUUACCAGGAAGGCCGGGAGAGAAGGGAUCACAAGGAGAGCCUGGAAAGGCAGCUGACCUCUCGGACCUGGAUCUGAAGGAUGUUUGCUCAGACUGCCCUGCAGGUCCAGCUGGAGCACCCGGUCUCCCAGGAGUCCCCGGAGAGAAAGGACACAUCGGACCUCCAGGGAAAGAUGGUCAAGACGGUU